rnacentral:rRNA from 1 species
ACGGAGGGUGCAAGCGUUAUCCGGAAUCACUGGGUUUAAAGGGUGCGUAGGCGGAUAAAUAAGUCAGAGGUGAAAGCUUUCCGCUUAACGGGAAAAUUGCCUUUGAUACUGUUUAUCUUGAAUUAUGUUGAGGUUAGCGGAAUGUGACAUGUAGCGGUGAAAUGCAUAGAUAUGUCAUAGAACACCAAUUGCGAAGGCAGCUAGCUAGGCAUAUAUUGACGCUGAGGCACGAAAGCGUGGGGAGCGAACAGG